GAUGAACGCUGGCGGCGUGCCUAAUACAUGCAAGUCGAACGCUGGAGAUUUAGCUUGCUAGAUCGAAGUAGUUGCGAACGGGUUAGUUAUACAUAAGCAACCUACCCACUAAGUCUGGUAUAUUCUCUGGAAACGUGGACUAAUACCGGAUAUGUAAUCGGAACGCAUCUUCUGGUUAUUACAGGUUUAAAACACUGGUGGUUGGGCUUAUGGCGCAUUAGUUAGUUGGUGAGGUAACGGCCAACCAAGACGAUGAUGCGUAGCCGGCCUGAGAGGGUGAACGGCGACAGUGGGACUGAGACACGGCCCAGACUCCUACGGGAGGCAGAAGUAGGGAAGUGUCGGAGAUGGGGGCAAUACUGAGCGAGCAACGCAGCGUGAGUGAAGAAGGCCUUCGGGAUGUAAAGCUCUGUUGUAAGGGAAGAACGGUAGAUAGAGAAUAGCUAAGUGACGGUACCUUACCAGAAAGCUACGGCUAACUACGUG
rnacentral:rRNA from 1 species